CCUACGGGAGGCGCAGUGGGGAAUAUUGGGCAAUGGAGGAAACUCUGACCCAGCGACGCCGCGUGCGGGAUGAAGGCCUUCGGGUUGUAAACCGCUUUCAGCAGGGAAGAAGCGAAAGUGACGGUACCUGCAGAAGAAGCACCGGCUAACUAUGUGCCAGCAGCCGCGGUAAUACAUAGGGUGCAAGCGUUGUCCGGAAUUAUUGGGCGUAAAGAGCUCGUAGGUGGUUCGCCACGUCGGAUGUGAAAAUCUGGGGCUUAACCCCAGACCUGCAUUCGAUACGGGCGAGCUUGAGUAUGGUAGGGGAGUCUGGAAUUCCUGGUGUAGCGGUGGAAUGCGCAGAUAUCAGGAGGAACACCAAUGGCGAAGGCAGGACUCUGGGCCAUUACUGACACUGAGGAGCGAAAGCGUGGGGAGCGAACAGGAUUAGAUACCCUGGUAGUCCACGCCGUAAACGGUGGGCACUAGUUGUGGGGACCUUCCACGGUCUCUGCGACGCAGCUAACGCAUUAAGUGCCCCGCCUGGGGAGUACGAUCGCAAGNUUAAAACNCAAGANAGUGACGUGNGAGACGCGACGACGACGACGACGGAGGAGGAG
rnacentral:rRNA from 1 species